UACGGAGGGCGCGAGCGUUGUCCGGAAUCACUGGGCGUAAAGGGCGCGUAGGCGGCCCUGGUAAGUCUGCGGUGAAAGCCCGGGGCUCAACCCCGGGUCGGCCGCGGGUACUGCCGGGCUGGAGUGCCGUAGGGGCAGGCGGAAUUCCGGGUGUAGCGGUGGAAUGCGUAGAGAUCCGGAAGAACACCGGUGGCGAAGGCGGCUUGCUGGGCGGCGACUGACGCUGAGGCGCGACAGCGUGGGGAGCAAACAGG
rnacentral:rRNA from 1 species